rnacentral:lncRNA from 1 species
UAAUCUAAAAUCAAAUUGAAUCGAACUUAUCCAAAACCAAAAGGAAGAAGACUGAAAUCCAAAAUAAUGAAAACGAUUUCACUGUGCCCCAGUUUCACAAACCUAGCAAAAAAAAAUGAACAAGACUUAGGUUUACUCCUAAGGUGAAUCUUUAAUCUAUUUUAUUAAAAAAAUUUGAAAUAAUUGAAAAAAAAUAAUAACGUCAAUUUUAAUGAUACAUGCCACUAACUAAACCCUAAACUUUAAAUCUAUACCCUAAACCCAAAUCCUAAACCUUAAACCCAAACCGUAAACCCUAAACCCAAACCAUAUAUCCUAAACCCAAAUCCUAAACCCUAAACCCAAACCGUAAAUCCUAAACCCAAACCCUAUAUUCUAAACCCAAAUCAUAGACUCU